ensembl:lncRNA
UGUCCCCUGCUGUGGUGUCUCUGCAGCAGCUCCACAACUUCCAUCAUAACAAUGGAACGAUAGAUGUAACUGAUGUAGUACACUAGUGUCACCGCCAGCAGACUGAUCUGCAAAAGAGAGACAGAGAAAGCUGGAUCUUCAGCCCUCAUACUGAACUCUGAAGAAGACUCUUGGUGGCUGCUGCUCUCAGAUAAAUAAUCAGCAUGGCUCUCUUGAAGUGCUGCUCCCAAACUGUUUUUUAAGGCCAGAGCAUCCUCCUUUUGUGUGACCUUGGAUACAGCUGGUUGGAUUACAGCUUCUUUAUCUGUACCUAAAAUUGUAGUGAACACUGACAGAAGGUCUGAGUCCUGCAACAUGAGAACAAAAGACAUCCUGUGCCCACUGCUGAAAGCCACUCCAGGAUACAGGAAGCUCCAAUACACUGGUCAGUGAAAGAGCAUCUGAAGGAAGCAAAGUCGGAAAAGAAUAAGGUCUGACUGUUCCGUCUCCAAAGCUCCACAGAAAGGUGACGUUGGUCCCUGCAUUGACCCGACAGCUCACUCUUACCAUCUGAUUCUGCAGGACUGAGGCCUGGUGGACUAGCCUGUUGAGCUUCACUGCUCUCUGGAUCAGCAGUGUCAUCACAUCGGAUGUGAGGGACAUCUGACCCAGCGACACGACCGCGACUACUUCAUACCUACGUUGAGAAAGGCAGAACAUGGAAGGGUAAGUGACUCUGUUGGCUACUACACUGGUACAGGUGAUAUUUAAGAUCCCUGCAAAAUAACAGCACUGUCAGGCAGUUCACAAAGCUGCAGACCGGCCCCUUCUAGCAGAAAGGCUCUCAGAGUGACUAAGCCCAUAUAUGCAAGAGGUUCGGGU